rnacentral:tRNA from 1 species
GGAGAUGUAGCUCAGUAGUAGAGCACCUGUCUAGCAUGUAUGAGGCCCUGGGUUCAACCUCCAGCUCUG